UGGUUGAAGGAGGAUGCCCAAGCCUAGCCAUCCCCAUCAUCUUCUCCUAGUUUGAAUAGGAGAAGGUUCUUGCUACCCACAACCUGAUAUCCCUGAUUGUUCUAAGACUUUAAGAUGCCCAAACCAUCAUAGUAGUUGCUGUUUAUGAUCUCUUUGGCCCUCUAGAAGUUGAGAUUGGCAUCCCUAAGCAAUCCUAAAAGGAUUGGG
rnacentral:lncRNA from 1 species